ACUCCUACGGGAGGCAGCAGUGGGGAAUAUUGCACAAUGGGCGCAAGCCUGAUGCAGCCAUGCCGCGUGUGUGAAGAAGGCCUUCGGGUUGUAAAGCACUUUCAGCGGGGAGGAAGGCGUUAAGGUUAAUAACCUUGGCGAUUGACGUUACCCGCAGAAGAAGCACCGGCUAACUCCGUGCCAGCAGCCGCGGUAAUACA
rnacentral:rRNA from 1 species